ACCAUUAUUAUUCAGUGCACCCUUCACUUGAUAAGUUAACACUAUUAUUAUCAGUUGAAUUGCAGAAGAAACUAAAAUGGCUUCUUCUCCUUCCAUUACUUAUGAUGUGUUCUUGAGUUUCAGAGGCACAGACACUCGGCGCGGUAUUCUUAGCCAUUUGGUUAAGGCUUUCAAUCAAAAGCAAAUUGAAACAUAUGUAGAUUACAUGCUGAGGGAAGGAACUGAAAUAUCACACUCACUCCUUACAGCCAUUGAACAAUCUCAAAUCUCUUUGAUCAUAUUCUCCCAAGACUAUGCUUCUUCCAGAUGGUGCUUGGAUGAACUUGUGACAAUAAUGAAAUGCAGAAAACAAAAUGGUCAAAUCGCAAUACCUGUUUUCUAUGAAGUGGAUCCAUCUUGGGUACGCCAUCAAAAGGGAAGUUAUCAGGAUGCAUUUGCUAAUCACGAGAAAACUUCAUCACAGGACAAGGUUCAAAUCUGGAGACAAGCUCUAAACCAAGCUGCCAAUUUGUCAGGAUUACAUUCAUCAAAUUUUGGGAAUGAUGCUGAAUUCAUUGAAGAAAUUGUGAAACGUGUGUUGCAAAGGUUGAACCAAGCAUACCAAUGUGAUCCAAAAGAAUUUGUUGGAAUUCAUGAACCAAUUGCAGAGCUAGAAUCAGUAUUGUGCAGGGAAUCGAAAGCUGUUCUUGUUGUCGGACUUUGGGGCAUGGGCGGUAUUGGUAAGACAACCCUAGCUAGUAAUAUUUUCAACAGAUUGCAAUAUGAAUUUCAAGGUGUAUGCUUUUUGGAGAAUGUAAGGGAGAGAGUUCAGAGAUAUGGCAUGACUCAUUUGAAGAAAGAGCUUCUUUCUAAACUACUAGAGGAAAAAGAUGUAGUCCCUUUCAUCAUGCCUGAUGGAAUAACCAAUUUUGCCAAAAGAAGACUUAGUCGAAAGGCAAUUCUUCUUGUUCUUGAUGAUGUCAAUGAUCCAGACCAAUUGGAAGAUUUAUGUGGAAGAGGGUUUGAAUGGUUUGGACCAACUACUAGAAUUAUAGUAACAACUAGGGAUAAGCAUGUAUUACUUGUUAAACAAGUUGAUCACAUACAUGAGGUUAAGCCAUUGAAUGACGAUGAAUCUCUCAAGCUUUUUAAUUUGAAUGCCUUCAAACAAAACUAUGACAUUGAAAGAGACCAAGAUCAUGCUGAGCUGGCCAUGAAGCUGGUUACUUAUGCUAAUGGCAUUCCAUUGGCUUUGAAAGUUUUGGGCUCCUCUCUUUAUGGAAGAAGCAAAGAAGAGUGGGAAAGUCAACUGUCUAAACUUGAGAAAAUUCCUCAUGUCAAAAUUCAGAAUAUAUUGAGAGUGAGUUACAAUGACUUGGAUCGUCAUGAUCAAAAUAUUUUUUUAUACAUUGCAUGUUUCUUUGAAACAGAUAAUGCAGAACAGAUAAAAUGUCUACUUGAUUCUUGUGGAUAUUCAACAGCCAUUGGGUUGAGAAAUCUUCAUGAUAAAGCUCUUAUUUCCAUUGCACCAAAAAGUAUGGCAAUGCAUGAUUUGAUUCGUGACAUGGGCCGCGAAGUAGUUCGCGAAGAAUCUCCGAGUAAUCCUGGAAAUCGUAGUAGAUUAUGGGAUCCCGUUGACAUCUAUGAAGUAUUGAAAUAUAACAGGGGAACUGAAACUGUUGAAAGCAUAACAUUCGACAUGAAAAACAUUGACAUGUAUUUGAGUUUGCAUCCCCGGGCAUUUGCAAGAAUGUACAAGUUGAAGUUUUUGAGAAUCAGUUGUUCUUGGACGAGGCAUGGGGAAUGUCUGUUGCGUGUUCCUCAAGGUAUUGAAUCUCUUUCAGACGAGUUGAGACUUUUGGAAUGGAAUGCGUGCCCUUUGAAAUCUUUGCCAUCAUCUUUUUGUGCUGAAAACCUUGUUAAACUUAUGAUGAUGGAUAGCGGGUUAGAAAAGCUUUGAGAUGAUGUCCAGAGAAGAAGAAGCAAGGAAGAGAAUCGAGAGGUCUUCAUCUUCUGCCAAGAUGCCAAGAACCCAAUUACCCAAAAUUGAUGGCCUUAAAGUGGAAGGUUUGGAACGUUUGGGAAGGCCUGUCCUUUUUGAGUUGAUUGUGAAUCCUGGACAGGAUGUGGUUGCGAAGCUACUUGAGGUUUGGGAAGCAAGCGAUCAGUCUAGCUAUAUAAUUUCAGUCUCUGGUCAUAUAUCAAAAGCCGCAAUUGGCAAACCAAGCUCAGAUAUGUUUUAUAUAUAUGAUGUACAAACAAACAAUCACUUAUAUGCACUUGUUCAUGUGUGUCAUUCUUUCAUGUUCUUCUUAUAUUCCAUUUACUUGCAUGCUUUUCUAUCAUCUGCAUGCAGGGACACUUUUAGAUUCUGUCUCUGUCUGGACAUUGGGGGUUUAAAAAGAGGAUGGUUCUGCAGAGUAUUAUCUGUGCAUCACAUUGGCUGAUUCUGAUGGAGAGGUUUUUGAUGGAGAGGCUUUUGGUGGCACUACUGUCAGUAGAUUAAUAGCUUCCGACACUGUAGAAGUAAGAAAAAUUGACUUAUUCCUUAACUUUCUUUCUCUCGAAAGUUUUUAAACUGUUUGUAUAGAACCGUGUUACGCCAAUGAUUUUAUUAUUUCUAGUACUAUUAAAAGUUGUUCAUAUCUAUCAUGAAAUUGAUAAAAUUGUGUUGUGUACCUCCAUAAUUAAUUGGAAUUUCUUGAAUUGUAAUGUGAUCAUACAUUCUACUAACUUUGUAACUUCUCUUCUAACUUCUUAUGAUGAAUUUUGUGAAAGAAGAGGAAAAGAGCACCUAGAAAAACUGCAAUGAAGCUAGAACUUCUGCUAAAGCAUCAUCAUUAGAUAUUGCCCUGCUCGUGCUCCUAUUCUUUGUCCUUGUGAAGAUAAUAGCGUGAUAAGGAAAAACUAAUUUGAGAACAAUGUGAUUAGUUUUAUUUCUGAAAGGGUUACCUUUUUCGUUUGAGGAUAGCAUAUGAUUGUAUGUUUGAGGUUUGGUUAAAUAAAUAAAGUAGACUAUAAAACAUUUCAGUAUGAUACUUGAUCGCCACUCAAGAAUUGCAUUCAUCAUCAGUCAUUCAUUUCACUGCAUUAAGCUAGCAAUUACUAGCUACUUCUCUGAAAUUACGUAUGAUGUUGCUCAGUUUCAGAGGCACACACUCACUUUGGUUGUCCAAAUCAAAGAUAUUGAACUAGACAUCUUACUUUUUAAAGAGUUAGAGAAAAUAAAUACAAAGCAUGUGUAUAUGAAUUCAAUUUGAGAGAUUCUAGAUGGACGUAGUGUUGGAAACUGCCAAGUCCAUAGCAUCCGUUUUCAAAGAGGUCAACCAUAUUGUGUCAUGAUGCAACAGAUGGGGGAACUUGACGCAGACUCACACACUCAGAAAUGUGUAAUACUUGAAGCUUUGAGGCUCUCCACAAAUCUUCUGGCACCUCCAUUAGCUUCCUAGAUCCUUGAAGAUAUACUUCCUUUAUUGUUUUGUGAUUCGUUUUCUGCAACUACUCACAUGAUGAUAUUUGAAUACUAUAGAUAAGAUGUUAGAUGUUGAAUAAUCAAACUUUUCAUG